GCGUUCGCUCUUAAUUGGGGCUACUUGUUCGUUACGUUUCUUCCGAAUGGGUAAGAAGCUAUGAAGUUUUAAUAAAUGCCUUGAUCGAGCUGUUAACAUGUUCUGUGGGGAAACAGGUAAAAAAAAAAAAUCUUCAAUUCGUUAGUCAGCUUGUAUCGUCAUUAAUAAUAAACACAAAAAACGAAGAAUAAUGGAAUCAUAACUUGAAUUCACAAAUCGAUCGUAAAAUAAAGGUUAUUUUUUAUCUCUCUUUCUCUCUCUCCUUCUUCAUUCAUUGUUUCACUUCAACGAUGUAUUGCAGUUUUAUUAUUGAUUCAAAUGAACAAGACCAUUGGAUAGCCAGACUUUCCACAUCCUGUGUUUAGACCUUCUGAGUGAUUUCUAGGUCAGAUAACAAUUGGAAUAACUCGAUUGAAUUGGUAUACCGAUCAGUGAGACGGCAAAGGUGAUCGGCUCGCUUUCGAAAGUGAUGACCCCAGGGAGCGGUAAAGAUGCGUGCAGGUAGGGGAUAGACGUUCCUGGAUCGCUAAUGAGCUUCUGGAAUAUUAUCGAUGCUCACGGUAAUGCUUAUAACUGCUUUUCAACUGAGAUUGUAAAUUUUCCGUUGUUCACUGAUUUCUGAGGGAAAGAUGCACGCCGAUUAUGCAUUGGUGGAAUAUAAUAAUGUUUUAAAGAUACCCUGUUGCUUCUGAACGAAGAAUUAUCAGUAGAUUUGCCAGAAUGAAGCGAAGACGGACAUAUAUAUAUUCAGAAAUGCAAAGAUAUUCAAAUAAUUGCUUCUUACGAAAUAGAAAUGAAUAUCGUAUAAUUCUUGGAAGGAAAAUAAACUGUAAUGAUUAAAGCACGAGCAUUAGAUUUGUACAUAAAUACUCGAUCUUGCGUAAUAGAAAAACAUUGAAUUGUGAUCCCUUGACGAACUCGAAAAAAUUACAUGGCGAAAACUAUUGCAACGUCGGAAGUGGCAAUGCUCGGGAAGCGUACGGUUCUCAAAGGGUUAAUUGGGCAUAGUAAUUCUUCAGGUGACCAAGCUCCAUGGGAGUGGAACGGAGAAAACCCAGUUUUAUGCUUCGCAUUAAGUGCUUAUAUCUAUAUCUUUAUGUUGUAUCUGCUAAUUUAUAAAUAUUUAAUUGGCCAACUACGACCCUUCGCUAUAGUAUUACCUUAAAUGUUUUUUUUUUUUUUUUUACAGAUAAGUUAUCGUAACAUUUUCAUGCAAUGAGGAGG